CAAUAGCGUAUAUUAAAGUUGUUGCAGUUAAAAAGCUCGUAGUUGGAUUUCUUGGAGGGUGCCGCCGUCCGGCGUGUCCGUGUGCAGUGGCGCCCUUCCAUCCUUCUGUUAGCGUCUCUUGGCAUUCAUUUGCUGGUGGCGGGCUCAGAUAUUUUACCUUGAGAAAAUUAGAGUGUUUCAGGCAGGCUAGGCCGGAAUACAUUAGCAUGGAAUAAUGGAAUAGGACUACGGUCUCUUUGUUGGUUUGAGGGACUGCAGUAAUGAUUAAUAGGGAUAGUUGGGGGCAUUAGUAUUUAAUUGUCAGAGGUGGAAUUCUCAGAUUUGUUAAAGACUAACUUAUGCGAAAGCAUUUGCCAAGGAUGUUUUCAUUAA
rnacentral:rRNA from 1 species